rnacentral:rRNA from 1 species
GGAACUGCAUUUGGACUAGCGAGCUAGAGUAUGGCAGAGGGAGGUAGAUUUCCACGUGUAGCAGUGAAAUGCGUAGAGAUGUGGAGGAAUACCGAUGGCGAAGGCAGCCCCUUGGGCCAAUACUGACGCUCAUGCACGAAAGCGUGGGAGCAAACAGGAUUAGAUACCCUGGUAGUCCACGCCCUAAACGAUGUCAACUAGUUGUUGGGUCUUCAUUGACUUAGUAACGUAGCUAACGCGUGAAGUUGACCGCCUGGGGAGUACGGUCGCAAGAUUAAAACUCAAAGGAAUUGACGGGGACCCGCACAAGCGGUGGAUGAUGUGGAUUAAUUCGAUGCAACGCGAAAAACCUUACCUACCCUUGACAUGGUCGGAACCCUGCUGAAAGGUGGGGGUGCUCGAAAGAGAACCGAUACACAGGUGCUGCAUGGCUGUCGUCAGCUCGUGUCGUGAGAUGUUGGGUUAAGUCCCGCAACGAGCGCAACCCUUGUCCUUAGUUGCUACGCAAGAGCACUCUAAGGAGACUGCCGGUGACAAACCGGAGGAAGGUGGGGAUGACGUCAAGUCCUCAUGGCCCUUAUGGGUAGGGCUUCACACGUCAUACAAUGGUCGGAACAGAGGGCUGCCAACCCGUGAGGGGGAGCUAAUCCCAGAAAACCGAUCGUAGUCCGGAUCGUAGUCUGCAACUCGACUACGUGAAGCUGGAAUCGCUAGUAAUCGCGGA